ensembl:lncRNA
AACUGUGCUGACUUUGAAUGGGAAUUAAUGUCAAAGAUGCCCCUGAAGUCCAAAGCUGGAAUUCAGAGGAAAGACUUCUACAGAACGUUUUGACCUCUAUCAGCAGCAGACUGCCUCGAAGACCUGCAGGACAAAGAAUGGCUUUGCUAACUGAGCCUACUAUAUGCUCCCAGAAAAAACUGUGCUGGGACAGAAGACAGCAGAAGAUACCUGUAAAGGGAAGUGUCCUCUGCCUAUUUUAUGGAAGUCAGGCUGACAGGAUCAUGGAGGUCCAUUCUCGCCUUGUUAAACUUAUAAACUGCAUCUUAUCCCCAGUCUUCCCAGGUACAAGAAGAAGGCUUUGUAACCAAUCUAGUUUAUACACUCGGAGCCCUCUCCAUGUGUCAGCCAAGGCGUAGGAAAUAGAGAUGAUCAGGCAAUUUACUUCAAAAGCACAUUCCUUAUCUGAAUUAAGAUGCUAACCCAAAAGCCAGUAGCAUUUAAUUCCUGUGAAGGGAGAACUGAAAAUGUAAAAUCAAAAGCAAUGAGUAUACUGUGUGCUUUGGGUCAUAAAGUACACACUGAGGGAAAUCCACCUUCCUACAAAGGUCCUCCAGGAAGUCCCAUCUCAGCUGCAUGGUGCAAGGCUCAGUGAGUGCACUGCCUACAUUCCUGACAUUCCUACCAUUUUGACAACCUGAAAAGAUGAGUUUAAAGAUUCGUUAGGAAAUUGUAAUGUGUUAACUUGACCUGUGAGACACUCCUUUCAUAAAGCAGUUCCUUGCCAUUUUUAUAGCAUUCAUUUGUAUUACAAUAGCGUGCGGGAUUUAUCAUCGCAAAGCAUUUCCUGGUGCUUCCACCACACAACUAGAAAAAUAUCCUAACAACUUAUUAACACUGCCUCUCCUUUUAUUUAUGUUUUGUGCAAUGCUAUGCAAUAUAACAAAGGUUGGCAACGUCUGUAGCUACAAUAAAGGAAGUGGUAAAAAAGAUUGCUU